GAUGAACGCUAGCGGGAGGCCUAACACAUGCAAGCCGAGCGGUAUUGUUUCUUCGGAAAUGAGAGAGCGGCGUACGGGUGCGUAACACGUGUGCAACCUGCCUUUAUCUGGGGGAUAGCCUUUCGAAAGGAAGAUUAAUACUCCAUAAUAUAUUGAACGGCAUCGUUUAAUAUUGAAAGCUCCGGCGGAUAGAGAUGGGCACGCGCAAGAUUAGCUAGUUGGUGAGGUAACGGCUCACCAAGGCGAUGAUCUUUAGGGGGCCUGAGAGGGUGAUCCCCCACACUGGCACUGAGACACGGACCAGACUCCUACGGGAGGCAGCAGUGAGGAAUAUUGAUCAAUGGGUGCAAGCCUGAACCAGCCAUCCCGCGUGAAGGACGACUGCCCUAUGGGUUGUAAACUUCUUUUGUAUAGGGAUAAACCUACCCUCGAGAGGGUAGCUGAAGGUACUAUACGAAUAAGCACCGGCUAACUCCGUG
rnacentral:rRNA from 1 species